rnacentral:rRNA from 1 species
UACGGAGGGUCCAAGCGUUAUCCGGAAUCAUUGGGUUUAAAGGGUCCGUAGGCGGUUUAGUAAGUCAGUGGUGAAAGCCCAUCGCUCAACGGUGGAACGGCCAUUGAUACUGCUAAACUUGAAUUAUUAGGAAGUAACUAGAAUAUGUAGUGUAGCGGUGAAAUGCUUAGAUAUUACAUGGAAUGCCAAUUGCGAAGGCAGGUUACUACUAAUUGAUUGACGCUGAUGGACGAAAGCGUGGGGAGCGAACAGG